AGCGAACGCUGGCGGCGUGCCUAACACAUGCAAGUCGAACGUGAAAGGGGGCAAUCCCAAGUAAAGUGGCGUACGGGUGAGUAACACGUAGGUAAUCUACCCCAGAAUCUGGAAUAACCGGCCGAAAGGCUGGCUAAUACUGGAUAGAGCGACGGAAUCCGUAAUUGGGUUUUUCGGGAAAGGGAGCCCGUAACAAGGCCUUCGUUCUGGGAUGAGCCUGCGUCCCAUCAGCUAGUUGGUGAGGUAAAAGCUUACCAAGGCAAUGACGGGUAGCUGGUCUGAGAAGACGGUCAGCCACACUGGGACUGAAACACGGUCCAGACUCCUACGGGAGGCAGCCGUGGGGAAUCUUGCGCAAUAGACGGAAGUCUGACGCAGCAACGCCGCGUGAGUGAAGAAGGCCUUCGGGUUGUAAAGCUCUGUCGAGUGGGACGAAAAUGCUUGGAGUUCACAGCUCCAGGAACUGACGGUACCACUAAAGGAAGCACCGGCUAACUCCGUG
rnacentral:rRNA from 1 species